UCAUUUCUGGUGUCCAGAGGAAGUUAAAUUACCAUCCGGAAAGGAAACAAACGAAAUACCCGUUGGUCCUGUACCAUUCAAUUAUCCUAACAGUGGUGGCUUGUGUUAUGAAGCAGAGGAAGUAAGAAAAUGCAUAAAAAGCGGUAAAACUGAAUAUUCCCACUAUACACAUAAAGAUUCUGAGAUGGUUCAUAAAAUAAUGGAGGAAGUAGCAAAACAGAUCGGUCGAAAAUUACCAUAUAAGAAGGACAAAAAUGUUACAGGUGUUACUAAUAUAUAGUAACUGAGUAUACUACGUGUACGUCUAGUCAUGAAAAAUACCAUAUAAUUUGGUUCAGCAGACGCGCAAAAACUGUAAUAAAAAUAAUUGCUCUCGUACUAUAUAUAUAUAUAUGAAGUAGUUACAUUUGAUGUAGAAAAUUAAACUUUAUUGACUUUUUGUGAUAGAUUUAUCGCUAUGUCUUAUUUUCAUAUGUUGAAAACUAUAAACCUGUAAUUUUGUCA